GUCUACGGCCAUGCCACUUUGACCAAUCUUGAUAUCUGAUCUCAGAAGCUAAGUAGGGUUGGGCCUGGUUAGUCCUGGGAUGGGAGACCACCUAGGAAGACCAGGUGCUAAUGCCA
rnacentral:rRNA from 1 species